rnacentral:lncRNA from 1 species
UUUUUUUUUUUUUUUUUUGUAAGUAUGUCUUUAUUACAGGCUUUAGGUUCACUAAUUAUGGUCCAACAUUUGAGAUUAUUGUUUUGAAACCUAUAAGCUACAAUUACAAAAUCUUUCAACAUUAAUGUGUGCGGGUUGAAGUUUAUUUGAAAUAUCUUUUUCUCUUUUUCAUUAUCGUGCUUUAAAUGAUCAAAUGUAUGUGAUAUUAAAAGAUACUUUCAAUACGCGUUUAAGAAUAAUAAUUUUUUUAAAAAAAUUAUUAUGUAUCUAAAUGGAGCCAUUUUGCCUUAUCUUUUGUAGAUAUUUAUUUGCAAACAUCCAAUUUCAAGAAUAAAAAGUUUUGAGUUCAUAUCCCCAUGACUCUCUUUUCGUUUCUUAAAGCCCACCUCAUACUAGAAAAAAUUAAAAAUGAUGAAGGUGAUUUACAAUUAAAGCAGGCAUACAAGAAACAUGAGGACUAGCAACUAAGAACUUUUGAUAAUUGUGGUUGGACCGUAGAAGUUUUAAAAAUACUUUUAGACCAAAGGAAAGAUAAGGAGGGACUGCUACACCCUCCCAAUAUCCAGAACAUUAUAUGAUUUUUCCUUUACAAUUGCAAAGUUCAAAACAAAAAAAAAAGGAAAACCCAUUGAAAUUCCAGCAUUAAUAUUAGGAAAUAUUUGUUUUAAUUGCUCAUAAAAAAUCACAAAUAAAAAUUUACCCCCCCCCCCCAAAAAAAAGUGUAAAACUUUCACUCAUCUUUAUUUGUUAAGUCAUCGCUAGCAUACCUAACAGCCAACCAUGGAGUAACAUAUUAAUGCUUCCAUUUUUUUGUCUUCCUGAUAAGCAUCCCACGAUGCUUCCACGUUUGUUGGAAAUAUAUAUAUAAAAGCAUCCCACGAUGCCCGGAAUGGAUUUUCUGCAAUUACAAGAAUAAUUAGCAGCUCAGUUCAAGUCAAGAUUGAAUUGAUACGUUUUGAGACAGAUAUUCCUUCUCUUUCUUAAAUGAAAAAUUUGUUCAAGCAAUUUUAUCACUUUACUUGCGUUUCAAUUAUGACUGCAGAUCAUUCUUCACAUCACACUCACAAUUGAAUUCAUGAAAUAGUAGUAUCAAGUUAUCCUUUUAUUGUCAAUUAUCUUAUCAAGUUUUAAAUGAGUUUGGAUUUCUAGGGUUUUGGACUUGAUCCUAUGCCAUCCCUAAUUGCGUCACAUUGGGGAUUGAAAAAUUUGUGCAAUUAUAGUUCUGAUUGUAAGGUGCAACAAAUUAAUGAUGGAUGUAAGCUUAAGUUGAAUUGAAUGAAUGAGAUUGGUUCUGGAAUACUACUAUAAUUUUCGAAGAGUGUCAAAAAUUUAUAGUACUCCCUCCGUCCUAUUGAAAGUAUCAUACUUUUCAUUUUGGUAUGUUUUGUAAAACAUUUGUCAUGCUGAAAAAGUAAAAGCACAUUUUAAUCUCUCUUUCUAAUAGAGUUUUUUUUUUCUGAUCAUAUACAUGUUACUAUUCAAAUUUAAAAUUUGAAUUUGUGAGAGUAAAAUUGGAAAGAGAAACACAAAUAUUACAAUCAAACAUUAUUUUUAAAAAAUUGAAUUUUUCAAACAUGACUAAAUAAUUAAAAUGAAGGAAGUAGUAUGUUUUUGUAUUUAGUUGUGCUAAUUUCUACAUUUGCCGUAUUAGUAUUUUCAUGUGUUGUAUUAGUAUGCUAUUGGCCGAGUGCAGAGGCCCAUGAUUGAUAUUGGAUUCCUUAAAUUUUGCACCUCAAUCAUGUGCACGUGUCGCAUUUUCAUUUGCUAAAAACUCAAAUCCAAUUUUUCCCAUUUCCAACCGGGCAACAACUCUCUUGACCGGACUCACACUCACCCUUCUGUUCUAAGACAGCCUACCCCGCCCUCUUCCUUCCUUCCUUCCUUCCAUCCUUCCUAUAUACACCACAUAAAAAGCCAAAACAACGUCAGAGCUACUACUCUUCCCCUCUUCCCUCUUUCCUCUACUGUGUGACUGUGUGUGAGAUGCAGUGAGCAACCCCCAAAACCUCCUCUUCCUGCGUGUGUUUCUUUGAAGCUAUAAGGUACGAAUUUACACCCUUUAUCUUUUUUUUUUUUCUUUUUGUUCUGCAAAUUCAUCUACUUUUUCUAUUUCUCAUAUUUUUCUUCUUUGCCUCUUGCAAACCUCUGGUACAAUCUAGUCUUUCCUUCUCUGGUUUUGUGGGACAAAUUCUGCUAGUCCUUUGAUCAGGAUGCUGUGGAAUACCUUUCAUCAUGUUUCGUCAGUCUCCCUUUUCUUUAAAAUUUUCGACGAUGGAGAAAACUUGACGAGGAAGGGAAAUGGAGAGUGAGAAUGGAGUCCUCAUUCACAGGCUAGGAAGAAAGAACUCUCGACCAUUCUGGACGUUAGUAUGGUUUAUGUGUGAGUUUCUUAUGGAUCACAGUCGUUACUGAAAGUGAUUUUAAAGAAAUUACCAUCAUUUUGAUCCUAAUCCCACUUUUUUUCCCAUCUGAUUUCAGCUUUUAGAGUUUGAAUAAUCAUAACUAUGAGUAAAGAACAAGAGCCCAGAUGAUGUUGUUUUCUUUUUUUUCUGCUAACUGCAUUGUCUUUAGCAGGCAGCAGCAGUACAUUUUUUCUCGAGAUCUGCAUCUUCCAACUUGUUUCUUUCUAAUCUUCUUCGUAUCCCAGCUUCUUCUCAUAUGGUAGUGGCUGUUUGUCUGGCUUCUAUUCUAUUCGGACCGGUCCUUAAAAUUGUCCUUUCAUGAUAAGACAUCAAUAAAUGUACACGGUUUUUCUAUCAUAACAUCAUCUGUUGCUCAGUCUGCCACCCCAUUUCUUCCCAUGUCACGUUCUCACAACAUGUACUUAAUUUAAUUAGUCAGCCUAAAAUUACAUGUUCUAAAAUUCCAUUUUCAAUUAUUUAGAUCAAAUCUUGAAGUAUUGCUAGUAAAAUUUACUCCACUUGAAUUUUUUGAGUGAAAAAUCAAUUGGAGAGGAUAGCAUUAGGGGGGCACAAAAUCCUUUUUUUUUGGGUUCUAGAGAGGGUAUGCUCAGCUAAUAUAGUGCACGUGAUUGUCACAUGUUUUUUCCCUUCUAUAGAAAAAAAAAAAAACACAAACUGCAAAAUAGGUAACAUUAGCUGGUCUUGUAUGCAAUUGCUAGCUGUAGAGUGAUGGAGACUUUGAAAAGGGACUUUCUAUUCUAUGAUGUUUGAGGUCCUUAUCAAUCUUGCUAAUCUUUGCGGAGGGAAAAAGAAAAUAUUUUAUUAUUGGUUCAUGUUUAAUAAAUAAGGUAAUGUGUUCAACUUGUCAUCAUGUGUAGGUCCUAGUUUGUUUGUCUGUGAAAUGGAAACAACAAAGAUGAAAUUGCAGACGAUUGGUGGUUGUGGCGGUGAAGGUGGUGGUGCUAUCCUUACACCACCCUCUAAUCAUUCACGCCGUGGAAGCUCCGGCAGGCCCUCUUGGCUUCUCUUCACCAUCGCCGGUAUGCUAUUCAUCUCUCCAUUUUUCUUUCACCCCUACUGAAUAUUUUCUUUCACCCCUAUUGAAUCUUUUCUUUGGACAUUAAUUUUUUACCCUCCAAUUGUAUUCAAAUUUCUCAUUGGGAUCCUUAACAGAAUUUAUGUCCCAAAUUAAAUGCCAUCUUUCAAUUCUUGAAUUUGAUUUUGUGAUAUUAUUGGAUACCAUGUAUCAAUAAUAAUUAAUGUGUUGAAAAGGGUCUGAGCCUGACCAGUUUGCUAGGUGCUAGGGGGCAAAGCCAUUUAGACAUUGGCAUUACUACUUUUAUUGCUGCUGGUACUAGGACUGGGCGGGGCCAGGGCUUGAAUAGGUAAGGUGGCCCGUUUAAUAAUAAUUUUGUCCACCUGCAAAAUCUUUUGCCACCUUCCGUAUCCAACAAUAGGAGUAUGAAAUAAUUUCCACGUCGUACGUACGCCAAAAUAUAUCCCCUAUUACACUUUCAUUUUUGCAUUUCGUUAAAAUGUACUUCAAGUUCUAGUAGAUGUAUGGAAAAAAUACGAGAUCAAUUUAACACGACAGAUAAAUAUAAGAGAGGGUAAUAAUCAUUAAUAUGUGUAUAUAUAUAUAUAUAUAUAUAUAUAUAUAUAUUAGGUCAGAUUGAGUUUAUAAAUAUGUUAACGAGCGUUUGUUUAUCAUCGGGUACUCGUUAAAAAAAAUUUUUUUUUUGGUUUCAUUAAAUCAUUUUUUGGGGCUAAAUUAACAAUUAAUUCGUACAUAGUUAGAUGGAUAGAAUUGAUUAUGUUUGAAAAUUGAGGUUUUACAUUUUUCUUUCCAUUUCAUUUCCUUCCUAUUGGGGUGGUUAUACUUGUGAGAUAGAAGAGGUCACUUUCUUUCCUAUUUAUGGGCCUGUAACCUGUAUUUCUGCUGUUUCAUUUCAAAAUUUGAAUAGAAAUGUCGAAAAAGUUUGAAGAGUAGAGUCCUCGAUCUCUACCUACUUCUAAGAUGCCGUGUUGCAGAGACUGAUUGAUUCUCUACAGUAACAAUUUCAUCUCUUUUUCCUCAUUAUUGGGCACAACUUUUUGUCUUCUAUGACGUAGCUGAUCACGACCUUUCUAUCCGUAGCCUUAUAUUUUGGGUAAUCACAAAUUACCUGCCCACCCAUGUUGGAGUGUUUCAAUAAUAAAUUACUUCAAAUAAUAUUGGGAGUGUUUGGAUACACACAUUAUUCCAAAUAAUAUUUCGCUUGCAUCAUAAACAUAUUUCCCAAUCCACCUUUUUAUAUUUCCAAUCAACUUUUUAUCUCACAUACAUCACAUCACAAAAAGUGCUACAGUAAUUAUUCCAAAUAAUAUUUCAAAUAAUACUCUAUCCAAACAAACCAUUAAUUUUUUUUGCAUCAUAAAUAUAUUUUUUAACUCAUUUUUAAUUAUAUUUUAUCUCACAUAUAUCACAUCAUAAAAAAUGUUACAGUAAUUAUUCCAAAUAUUAAUAUUUCAAAUAAUACUCUAUCCGAAUCAAUCAGAUUUUUUUCUACAAAAAUCUGCAAUUUUAACAAUCACACUUGUUAGUUAGUAAUUAUCCUUUGUUUGUUUUUUUUUUUGGGGGUGAAUUUCGAGAGACAGACCAUGUUGACAAAAAAAGCCAACAGACCAUAAGAUUCCUUAGACCUUUUACAUUUCCCAUAACUUUUCUCAGAUGUUGGGAUACUUCCAAUUUGUGAUAAAUGUGAGCUUUUCUCCUCUAUCAUGCCACUGACCGUGACAUGUCAAUCCCCUUUCAUAACUCAUUAUUUUUCGAAUUUCAAAUCAUUGCCUUGCUGCGUGUCAAUGAGGCCAAUUUUUGCCAGGGCUUUAACAUGUGCAGCUGAGAUGGGAUUUUCUAUUUAACUAUUUUUUUAGGUGGUCUUUUGUAAUUUUUUUUUGUUGGAGGGGGAGGGGAGUCCAUUGGCUGCCGUGGAUAUAAUUUGUUGUAAAAAAUGUGAGAAUUAAAUUCAAAAUUUUAAAUUUUAAAACGAUUGAUAGUGCUAUAGCACAAGUAGUCCAGGAUCAACAUUUAAUGCAAUUAAGUUUUUUUUGGUGGCAGAUUUUGACGAGAGAAUGAAGAUGUUGGCAGUAAAUGUUUCUGAAGAGGACAGUGCUGACAGUUUUGCAAAACGAGCUGAGGAGUAUUAUCAGAAGCGCCCUCAGCUGCUGGCCUUGCUUCAAGAACUGUACAAUGGUUACGUUGCAUUAGCAGACCGCUACUGCCAAGCCCUUGCCAAGAACAAUCAUCACAGGCGCCGAUAUUCGUCUCCCAUUUCGCCCUUCAAUUUCAAUGAGAAUGAUCAGUUUGAUGAGGAGGAUGCAGGAGAUGUUAUUGACUCUGAUGAUGCCGCUAGCUCUCUGUCUUACCAGACUCCCUUUCCAGCAGCAGCAGCAGCACUGGAUCCCGAUAUGAUCGUAGCAGACCUGGUCAUGAAAUCUGUCGACUGUGAUCUCAUCUUAAAUGAGCUCAUUGCUAUGGAGAGGAAGUCGGGCGAGUCCUCGAGGAAAAUAGAGUUGCAGAAGAGCUUGUUGGAUGUGUUGGAGUCGGAGAGGCUGAUACUACUGAAUGAGAAUGCCAGUUUAGUUUACAGAGUGAAUGCAUUGCUGGAAGAGAAUAAGGGGUUGACUUCAGAAUCUUUGUUUAUGAAAAGAAAGGCAGCUGAUCUUGCAAGGUGUGUGCUAAAGCUGAGGGAAGAUCACAGGGUGUGCAUGCUGAGUCGAAAAAUCGAGGAUCUUCAAGGGCAGAUAUGUGGUUUAGAGAAGAAAAACAAGGAUUAUUAUGAUCAGCUUGUCAAACAUGAAGAAGAGAAGAAAAGUAAGGCCAUCACGGUGAAGACUAACAGUAAGAGUCCAGCUGAGGUGACUCUGGAAGACUGCUUUCACGUGAAUGAAGAUGUUUCUUGCUUUGGCAGCCUGGCCAAUAUGAAGAAAGGUUGUCUGCCUACUAAUGGUAGCAUCAAUCGAGGGAGGAGGGCUUCAAGGCUAUGGAACAGGGUCAAGAAGAUUGAUUUCUUUCUCUGUGUACCCCAUGUCAACUCUACAUAAUGCAAAGCAGAAAGAGCAUUUCUGCAAGUAUGAUUGGGAAGAAGAUAGCAGUAUAUAUCCUAGUAGUAUGAAAUGUUUUUGAUAGGUGCAUUCAGUACUGUUUACAGACUACCAAUAUUUCCCCUCCAUGUCAUUAGUCAGUAUUAGCUUGGCAUAUGUAGGAGGAAGUACUUAUGCAACUCUAAGAGCGUUAGUGAUGUAAGGGGAAAAAGAUUGAUGCAACUUCAACUCUAUAUUUAUGGCAAAUAUUUUGAAGAGUAAUGGAAAAACUACCAUCAUAUGGAAAAUGUUGAAUCAGUGCGGGAAGAAAACAUUCUUUCAGAAGAAAAAUCAUAGAAUCAUAGAAAGGUCUGAUACAACAAAGAAAACUGUUUGCAUUCAUUAAUGAUAACUUAGGAUAGUUAAUGUGUAAUGCAAUCUGAAAUGAUAAAGAAUUACCACCACAGAAACAUUAAAAGAUCAGGUUUACCUUAUCAUCAUUUAAAAAAAGCACCGGGGAACUUUUUGGCAUAUUUUUAAUGUUAAAAUCUCUUGAGAAGUUAAAAAAGAAAAAAUUAUGAGAAGCAAUUCAGGAAGUCAUCCCACUGAGAGAGGAAAAAAGAAGCUUCAUGGAGGAAUAUCUAUGACAAUUUCAGAGUCUAUACAUGGAAUAAAAUUAUGGCCAAGGGACUAUGUACAUGGUAACAAAAUCAGUUCAACUUUAGAUUUAUUAACCACCUCUAAUUAUACAGCUUAAGUUGUUAACUAUUUUAUUUUCAUCAUUUCCUAUCUAAACUGAAGUUGAGGAUGUUGAAAAAAUGGUCUUCUUUUAUUCUUACAACGCUAGGUGGUCACUUCAAUUGAUUCCAGAUGUUUCGCACUGGUAGAGAACUGGCUGGUAAUCGAGGGCACAGAUAUUGGUAUACCGAAAAAGGCCAGGUGGAAGAAAAAUAUAUCAAUCCUGUGAAGAACCCAUGCAAGUUAUGAAAUCACAUAAACAUAGACAAACAGAAAGAACAUAAAUGAAUAUGACAAACACGAGAUUGGCAUUGUGCAUCUAAAUUUAUUGUUGAAUUCAUGAUCACACUUUUGACAGGCAAAACAAGACAAAAAUUUUCAUCACAACAAAUAAUUUGGAAGCUCAGUUCGAAGCUGAGAAUUAAAGAAAUUGAAUAUUACCCGUAUUGUUUUCAACAUUCCGCAAGAGCAUGCAAGCAAAGAAUAAUCCCAUUGAUUUAAGGUGUACGCUACACAGAGCAGAACAGGAUUAUUGGAGAGUAAAGCAUCACACAAUUUACAAGACAGAAUCUAUUUCACUUUGGAGUAGUUGUUCUAAUAUCGCAGAACAUUAAGAAGCCAACUAAGAAUUGAUGAACCAAAAUCCUUUGUUUUUUAGCUUUAACAAAGCUUCUAUUCAAACAAUAUCCUGAAUGCACAGAAAGAUUGAAGGUCUAACACCUUUACCAGACAAGAAUAUCAACAGACCCACCAUCAAUUUCUCCGCUUGACAAUAUGCUCAAUAUUCUUGUUUAUUUUGCUUGACCUGAUGAGUAACAGAUGAUGUGCUUACCUCCAUAAUGUUAAUUUAACAUAUGUACACAUGCAGCCGAAAUAAUGCCUUAAGCUGAAUUUGCAGGAGAGAGUUUCUCUUGAAGCGCUGCAAUCCGAGCCUGAAAUAAGACGGGCAGAGACAACCAAGUUAGAAAUAUUGUAAACACUGCACAGAAUAAUCAUAGAAUCCUCAAGUAUGAGAGCAGAUAUGUCAAACCAAGGCAAAGAUUGAAAUGGUGUUUACUAAGGCACAAGAAAGCUUGAACUUUUAUUUCCAUUACCUACACGUAAUCUCAAAGCUCAUGCAAGUCUUUGUCUACCAUGUUCUUUUAUGCAUAUUAAAUUAUACAAACUUGAUAAGCUUUAAGUUACAGGCAUUGUUGAGAGGAUAGGGUGAAAAUUGGCAAUCAAAUUUGUCAUAUUUUAUUACUCCUUCCUACAGUGUCGUAUAAAUUAUAUAAAAGCGGAAACUGCCAAUUUUUGAUCUCUAAAGGAUGCUAGAAAACAGAAGUUUCUAUGAAAAUCUUAACCAACUUGGAGUUCUAUAAACCAUCUUAUUGACUAAUAUGUAUAACUACUUUUAGCAUUCAUAUUGUAACCUUCUAAUUCUUCUUGAAGAAGAAUCAAUGAAAAUUUCUGAUGAUAACAGCAAACUUUUGUUUAUUUGUUAUUCUAGAAAAUUUUGCUGACAACAAGAGGCAACUUAGUUUUGAAAUUUCGAUGACCUUCGAAGACCUUUAGAUGAUCCAUUUUUCAAAAUGAUGAAAACCAAGAAAGCAUGACCCUAGAACCAUAUCAAUUGUAGACUUCAAUUCUGCAGCAACUGGACAUAUCAAACAAGAACAAGUGAACCCAGGAUUUAGUUACCCUGUUGGUGAUAUUUUUACCAACUGAACAUAUAUCACAUGGAUUAUGGACCAUUGAGCUUAUCUAUGUUAAGUUUUGACUUUUUUUUUUUUGGUCAGUUUAAAAUGGUUAGAAAUAUUGGCAAUGCCACCUUGUUAGUGUCCAUUACAUUGGCACUACAAAAAAGCCUGUUCCUACAUAUAGGCAUAAUUUACAAUCUCACUGUCAGAAUCAUUUCAUACCAGAUAGGGCCAUAAAACAUCUUUGAUGAACAUGUGUACCAGAACAUCAAGAUGGCAUCACACCUUGAAAGACUUGGAACGGCAAAGAGAAGGUUCUAACUCCAAAGCCAUUGCAUAAGACUUUUCUGCAGCAUCAAUUUGGUCCAUGGCCAUUAAAGCAUCACCUUGGCAGAUAUAACCCUGUAACAUCAGCAAACAUUGAACAUCUCCACCAAAAGGCUAUUAUACCUUGUUUCUGAAUCUCUAGCAUGUUCUGUGCAUCAUGCUUCUGGUAGUUCAUUGAUGACUGUGCCAAGCACAUCCUAUACAUUCAGUCCAGGCUUGCAAUUUUAAUCUUUUCUUUCCUAAUUCUCUGAAGUUGAGGAAGAGGAAAAUGGCCAGAAUAAAUAAAACAAAAGGAAGAUGUAAGCAAUUAGCUGUCAGUGCAGUCAAUGAGGCUUGGCCAUGGGAAGGUGAGCUUAAGUAAAGGACCUUUAUCUAACAGACUAAUUCGGCUUAUCAUAUAAGUCAAAGUUAGGCAGAUUUGUAAAGCAGGAUUCAGUGCUUCAAAGCAAAUGAUCUGUAAUUGGGGCCAUUUUUGUUUGCAGUGAGCUUAGAAUAGCAAAUCAUUAUGUUCUUGAAGCAUAACAAGAAUGAACAUGUGGCAAACCUCAGGGUAAUUUGCUGCAAGGGUCAAAGCUUCUUUAGCAUCAUCAAGAGCUUCGCAGAUGUUUCCCAUGGCUAACCUUGCUGUAGACCUAAAUGAUAGAACAAAACAUGAGUUCCUUAUUUCCUAUCACCGAACAUAGUGCCUUGACCCUCCUCAUAUAUCACACGAUUCAACUCUGUGACAACCUAUAAGAUUGCUAGAUACUAGUGCAAGUCCACGAAUAUUGAUUCACAGAAAUGUGUGAUCACUACAACAUCCAAAUUCAGCAAAUAAUAGCACACAAACAUCACUAUAACUAUAACUCCUUGACUAAUGAAAAAGCAAUCAACUAGAAAAAAAAAUUAAGGAAUGUUAGCAUGUUAAUUAGUUCGGACGCUAUUACUCAUCCCAGUUACAGAAACAAGAAUGUUUGCAUCCUAACGAAUAUAUAUUAAGUGAAUAUUGCAUUUCCCAAUAACGGAAAAACGCAUAGGUAAACAAAUAUGGAAUACCUGGUUUUAUACGUUAUAUGGACACCUCCAAAUGGCCUAAGUUCUAUAGCCUGCAAUGAACAACAUUGGCAUUAUCUAACAGCAAUAAUCAAGAAAAUCCAAUCAUCUGCAAAAUCAAAACUGUCAUUCAAAAACACCGAAAAGCCCAAGGGAAUAUCCUUGAGAGAAAAUCAAAAUGCAAAGCAAAGUAAAAGUGCACUUUUUAGCAGCUGUGAAGAUAAUGCUAAUCAAGUAACUGGCAUAGAUUAACUACACAAGAUCCUCUCAAACCCAGUUACUGAUGGACGCAAAUCCAUCCAUUUCUUGUACCUGCCAUGCCAAUUUUCACCUUCUAUUCUGCCAAUCAACUCAAUUCUACACCACUUAACAACAUCCUUUAUGAUUCCUCCUCUCAACACAAUUUUAUCAAGUAAAUCAAAUAAACCUAUACUCUUCUUAAAUAACAAACUCAGUAACAGUACGUUAAUUCUUCCACUAUUCCUUCACCACAAAAACUGGAAAAAUCAAAUUCCAUCUUCAAUCAAUUGAGGUAAAAAGGCAAUAGAAUGUCAAGUUAUUUUUUCUUGGGAGUUUGCAUUCUCAUACCUGUGAAAGAAAAAGCAGGGCUCCAUCAAGAUUCCCCUUUUCCAUCUCAUCUUCAGCUCUCUUCCUCAAAGCAAAUGCUUCCAGACACUCCAUACUACUCCUCUCAAAGUCCUUAUCAUUCCUAUGAAAACCGCAAACCAACGAAACCAUGAGACGGGCUGCUUUAGCAGGGGACGAACAGUGGCCGACAAAGGCUCCCUGAGGCAAAACGACGACGUUGGGACCGGCACCACAGCGGCCGAGGCAGCCACAGGAGUUGACGGAGACAGAAGGAGGGGCAAUCCCAGAUAGAAUUUGAAGAAUAUCUAAUGAACCUUGUCUCCUGCAAGUCCUGUUAGUGCAAACUCUUAUUUCUUCUACUGAUGUUGUCUUUUCAUUAUUAUCUAUACUGUUCUUUAUAGAUGAUGUUUUUGGCCUUGAAAUAGUAGUUUUGAUGAUGUUUUUUCCUCUAGGAAAAAUGGGUCCUGCUGCUGCAAGAGAUGGAGGUCUGAAGCUACUUAGAUCAGGCUUCUUCAUGCUAGCGCCGAGUCGUCUUUGGCCUUUGGGUCGCUUCCCACUUCCCAAGCCAGUCUGCGUUGGUGAAUUCAGUUAUUAGUGCUCAAUUUGGCUGGCAAACUCAACUCUAACAAGAGCUUUAACUUUUAAGGGGAAGUUUUUUUUUUUUCCCGAGUGACAGUAAAAAUAUAAUAUGCUUAGAACUCGUUUGGAUUGUUAAUUUUUGGAAAAAUAUCUAGUAGUAAUUUGACGUGUAUCAGGUAAAAGGUAAUUGAGAAAUAUAUUCAUGAAAAAUAUAAAAGUUUUUGACUGAAAAAUUGCAGUCCAAACAAAGUUGUUUUUUGAUUGGACUUGAGCUCUUUGUUUUUUUGUUGGCAAUUAUGGUAUUUUGAAAACUUUAUAACCCUUUUUUUAUGAGGCACUUUCCUUGACAUCCAUUUCUGCCAUUAAUCUUUUUAUUGAUUGACUUUAAACUCAUAAAGAAUUUGAUAGCUUCACUUUUUUUUUUUUCUUUUCCAAAUCCCUUCAUCCAAAAUAGACCUAAAAUCAAUAGAUUUAUUUGGGUAAUUACACUGUGCCCAAUAGAGUUUUAAAGUAGAUAAUGUCUUUACCAUUCUAUGACCAUUUGUUUCAUGUAACUCAUGUUCAACUCACAAAAACUGAUCAUUUGAGUUUGAAUUAUAUUCAGCGUUGACUUUAUACAGACCAAAAUCAUGACAAACUAAUGCAAAAGAAACUAAAUUGCCUUCAUGCUUGAAUUUUAUGAUUCCUGAUAAGUUGUCUUUCAAUGAUUAUUGAUAACCACAAAGGUUAAAAAACUAGUAGAAAGAAGAGUAUUUAGAAAAAAAAUUACAGGGUAAAAUGAGAAUUAAUGACUUAAUAUGAUGCAAAGGAGAAUAUUGGACCUCUUUUUUUCUUUGGUAUAAAACAAGCGUUUGGAUGCUGAAUGUUCGGCCCAAAGCAUAAUCGCCUUCUCCUAAGGAGAAUUCUUGAUAGUGGGGAGGAACUGAGAAGUAAGAACAGUGGGAAAUUUGAUUGGAAUGAGGUGAAAUGCAUUGUUCUACCUGGCUACAUGUUCAUCAGCACCAUCACCUUGUAUAGUCAACCGUAGGAUCGAACUAAAAUCGUUUUGGCAACUAAUCCUAGUUUUACAAGCAGUGUUUAGAAUAGCAUUCCACCACUCAAAUCAUCUAGUUUCACUACCCAAGUUUGUACCAUAUAAAACAGCAUCCUCAAAUGCCCAUGAACUCAAUUGCUCAUCUAAAAAGCUUCCACAGGUGAAAGGAAACCUUCUGUGAUCAUUAUCAGAAACAAUCAG